GCGCUCGUAGCUCAGCUGGAUAGAGUACCUGGCUACGAACCAGGCGGUCAGAGGUUCGAAUCCU
rnacentral:tRNA from 1 species